rnacentral:rRNA from 1 species
UACGGAGGGGGUUAGCGUUGUUCGGAAUUACUGGGCGUAAAGCGCGCGUAGGCGGUUCAACAAGUCGGUCGUGAAAGUUCAGGGCUCAACCCUGGAACUGCCUUUAAUACUGCUAGUCUUGAGUUCGAGAGAGGUGAGUGGAAUUCCGAGUGUAGAGGUGAAAUUCGUAGAUAUUCGGAGGAACACCAGUGGCGAAGGCGGCUCACUGGCUCGAUACUGACGCUGAGGUGCGAAAGUGUGGGGAGCAAACAGG